AGUGAACGCUGGCGGCAGGCCUAACACAUGCAAGUCGAACGGCAGCACAGCAGUAGCAAUACUGUGGGUGGCGAGUGGCGGACGGGUGAGGAAUACAUCGGAAUCUGCCUUAUCGUGGGGGAUAACGUAGGGAAACUUACGCUAAUACCGCAUACGACCUACGGGUGAAAGCGGAGGACCUUCGGGCUUCGCGCGAUAAGAUGAGCCGAUGUCGGAUUAGCUAGUUGGCGGGGUAAAGGCCCACCAAGGCGACGAUCCGUAGCUGGUCUGAGAGGAUGAUCAGCCAGACUGAAACUGAGACACGGUCCAGACUCCUACGGGAGGCAGCAGUGGGGAAUAUUGGACAAGGGGCGCAAGCCUGAUCCAGCCAUGCCGCGUGGGUGAAGAAGGCCUUCGGGUUGUAAAGCCCUUUUGUCCGGAAAGAAAAGCAUCGGGUUAAUACCUCGGUGUUCUGACGGUACCGGAAGAAUAAGCACCGGCUAACUUCGUGCCAGCAGCCGCCGUAACAC
rnacentral:rRNA from 1 species